UAUUGAUAAAACUGACUAGCUCAUGCUAGCAGCAACACGUCCAGCUUCAGAGAGGAACUUCCCAUCAGAGUGCUACCUUAGCUGAGUCUGUGCCGACAUCAUCCCACUGCAAAAAAGAGAUUUGAGAAAGAAAGAACAAGUUCUUCUCCCAGAUAAGUAAUGAUAGACGUAAAACAGUGGCAUGUUUCAUUGCUACAUUUAUGUAGCUUAUUGCCUUGAUAAAGAAAGCACUGCUGCAGAGCUUCACGAGAACCGACACCGAACCGGGCUGUUAAAAUCAACUUACAGCAUCCUCCUUGCUAUUAGGGACUGAUUGCUUUCCUGUUCCACCUGGUCCCCGCCCUACUUAAACACCACUCAGUCUCUGCCUCCUUGCCAGAUUAUCGACAGCCACGAGCCAGUAGAAAUCCAGCGUUUUUCUUCCUAGCCUUCUGUGAUUCUUGACCUCCUUCUGCCCACGGAUUUAUCCCCCUUGCCUAGCCCUUGUCGGAACCCAUCUAUUCUGGAUUUCUGGACCCUGACCCAAGCUUUGCCUCACGACCACCGAGUAUCGCCUGCCCCUCAAGCUAAGUUUGCUCUCUCUGCCUACCCGUGUAUGACCUUUGCCUGAUCUUCGUCUUAGUCCCUGUGUGCUGCCUACUGGAUCUCCUUGUGGAGAGUAUCUUUGGAUCCACAGCAGACAAUUCAACCUUUUGUUUUCAGCUCCAUCUGUUCACUGCAUGACAGUGCUGUGUUUUGAUGACCAUUCCCUGAGCAGCGACCAGUCCCUGAAUAUUUUAUUAAACUUGUUUUUUCUUUCUAACUCCUGUGUGUGGUUGAAUUUCCGGGUCCCCUCCGAGUUUCCUUACAAUUUCCUUGUUUUAUGUACUUUCUUUCUCAAUUGCUGCCUCCAAGUGGUCAGAUAACUAUUAACCAAAAUAAACA